rnacentral:rRNA from 1 species
GACACGACUCUCGGCAAUGGAUAUCUCGGC